AUUUAUUUUCAUUAUUAAAUAUAGUCGGAUAUACUACAAUAAACAAUUUUUAUCAAUAAAAUCUGGAUAUUAUACCCAGUGGCAUACCGAAAGGGGGCGAGGGGUCCAACUAGUUUCUCAAAAAUAAGUAAAGCAUGUUCAAACACCUGUUUAAAUGGUUGCGCUGUAUGGUAAUUUUGCUUUAGACUAUGAGCUUGAAAUGGAUUAUCUUAAAUACUAUACAUAUAUCUCAAUCAAUGCUUGAACAAACAGAUGCUAUAACGAUGAAGUUCCAAUUGUAUGAUUUUUUUUUCCAUAUUUUACGCCCCUUUCCAAUCAGGAGAUUACUAAGGGGCAGACCAGUUCCAACAACGGCCUGCACUACACCCGUGGAACUGAGCCGGAUCGCGGACCCAGCACCCCGAAAAACUUUUCAUGAGUUACCACACCUGGGACGCGAACUCUGGUCCUCCUGAGUGGCACGCCGAUAGCAUUAUUACUCUGCCAUCUACUGUAUUCUUCAUCUUGAGCUUUUCCCAUUUCUAUAUGGGGUCACUGUUUUUGACGAGCU
rnacentral:lncRNA from 1 species